GGAGUGACGGAGAAGGCUAAGUUGAGCGUGUUAAUGGAUUCACGUGUAAGCAGUGAGGUGGUCAUGUAGGCAAAUCCGCAUGGCAUAACAUUGAGCUGUGAUGCCGAAGCCGUAUGGCGAAGUCAACUGAUGUCACGCUUCCAAGAAAAGCUUCUAGGGUUAAUUUAGUAAGUGCCCGUACCGAUAACCGACACAGGUAGGCGAGGAGAGAAUCCUAAGAUGAGCGAGAGAACUCUUGUUAAGGAACUCGGCAAAAUGACCCCGUAACUUCGGGAGAAGGGGUGCUUGUGAAAGCAGGCCGCAGUGAAUAGGCCCAGGCGACUGUUUAUCAAAAACACAGGUCUCUGCUAAACCGCAAGGUGAUGUAUAGGGGCUGACGCCUGCCCGGUGCUGGAAGGUUAAGAGGAGAGGUUAGCGCAAGCGAAGCUUUGAAUUGAAGCCCCAGUAAACGGCGGCCGUAACGAUAACGGUCCUAAGGUAGCGAAAUUCCUUGUCGGGUAAGUUCCGACCCGCACGAAAGGCGUAACGAUCUGGGCGCUGUCUCAACAAGAGACUCGGUGAAAUCAUAGUACCUGUGAAGAUGCAGGUUACCCGCGACAGGACGGAAAGACCCCGUGGAGCUUUACUGUAGCUUGAUAUUGAGCACUGGUGACACAUGUACAGGAUAGGUAGGAGACGAAGAAGCCAGGACGCCAGUCUUGGUGGAGUCGCUGUUGGGAUACUACCCUUGUGUUACUGGGGUUCUAACCCGUGGCCAUGAUCUGGUCAGGGAACAGUGUCAGGUGGGCAGUUUGACUGGGGCGGUCGCCUCCCAAAGAGUAACGGAGGCGCCCAAAGGUUCCCUCAGAAUGGUUGGAAAUCAUUCGAAGAGUGUAAAGGCAGAAGGGAGCUUGACUGCGAGACCUACAAGUCGAGCAGGGACGAAAGUCGGGCUUAGUGAUCCGGCGGUACCGAAUGGAAGGGCCGUCGCUCAACGGAUAAAAGCUACCCCGGGGAUAACAGGCUGAUCUCCCCCAAGAGUUCACAUCGACGGGGAGGUUUGGCACCUCGAUGUCGGCUCAUCGCAUCCUGGGGCUGUAGUCGGUCCCAAGGGUUGGGCUGUUCGCCCAUUAAAGCGGUACGCGAGCUGGGUUCAGGACGUCGUGAGACAGUUCGGUCCCUAUCCGUCGUGGGCGUAGGAAAUUUGAGAGGAGCUGUCCUUAGUACGAGAGGACCGGGAUGGACACACCGCUGGUGUACCAGUUGUUCUGCCAGGAGCAUAGCUGGGUAGCUACGUGUGGACGGGAUAAACGCUGAAAGCAUCUAAGCGUGAAGCCCCCCUCAAGAUGAGAUUUCCCAUUCGAAAGAAGUAAGAUCCCUUGAAGACGACAAGGUAGAUAGGUCAGAAGUGGAAGUGUGGUGACACAUGGAGCGGACUGAUACUAAUCGAUCGAGGACUUAAUC
rnacentral:rRNA from 1 species